AUGUGCUGAACCUAACUAAAGCACCUUCAGGUGAGGUGUCCUGCCCUCAAAGUCCAGCCUGUUUUCCUGGCUCCAGACAACUCCAAGCCAAACUGGCCGCAGAUGUGUUUCUUGUCCUCCAGGAGCUGAAGUCACACCAGGGGAAGGAGCGAGAUUGUGGGGUCCAGGAGAGGAUUUAGGGGAAGUCUGGCAGGGGGAAAUCCUUCACAUCUCCCACUCAUUUUAGAACCUGUUUGGGAAAAAAAGAAAGAGAAGAGGACAUGCCUCAUGCCCAGAGAAGCCGUUUGGGACAAAAACAAAGAUGUUGAAGGAGGAAUUUUGAAAUCCUCUGUGAUGU
rnacentral:lncRNA from 1 species